UACGAAGGGGGGCUAGCGUUGCUCGGAAUUACUGGGCGUAAAGCGCACGUAGGCGGUCUUUUAAGUCGGGGGUGAAAUCCUGGAGCUCAACUCCAGAACUGCCUUCGAUACUGAAAGACUUGAGUUCGGGAGAGGUGAGUGGAACUGCGAGUGUAGAGGUGAAAUUCGUAGAUAUUCGCAAGAACACCAGUGGCGAAGGCGGCGACCUGGUCCGAUACUGACGCUGAGGCGCGAAAGCGUGGGGAGCAAACAGG
rnacentral:rRNA from 1 species